rnacentral:rRNA from 1 species
UACGUAGGGGGCGAGCGUUAUCCGGAGUUACUGGGCGUAAAGGGCGCGUAGGCGGCUUGGCAAGUGGAUGGUGAAAUCCCUCGGCUUAACCGAGGAACUGCCAUCCAGACUGCUUUGCUUGAGGCCGGGAGAGGUGAGUGGAAUUCCCAGUGUAGCGGUGAAAUGCGUAGAUAUUGGGAGGAACACCAGUGGCGAAGGCGGCUCACUGGACCGGUUCUGACGCUGAUGCGCGAAAGCGUGGGAGCAAACGGG